rnacentral:rRNA from 1 species
AGAAUCAACGCUGGCGGCGUGCCUCAGACAUGCAAGUCGAACGCGAAAGUCUCCUUCGGGGGACAAGUAGAGUGGCGCACGGGUGAGUAACACGUAGGUAAUCUACCUUUGGAUGGGGAAUAACAACCGGAAAUGGUUGCUAAUACCGCAUAAUGCAGCGGCACCUAAUGGUGACAGUUGUUAAAGCGGGGGAUCGAAAGACCUCGCGUCUGAAGAGGAGCCUGCGGCGGAUUAGCUAGUUGGUAAGGUAAUGGCUUACCAAGGCUACGAUCC